AUUGAACGCUGGCGGGAGGCCUAACACAUGCAAGUCGAACGAGUGGCGGACGGGUGAGUAAUGUAUGGGAAACUGCCUGAUGGAGGGGGAUAACUACUGGAAACGGUAGCUAAUACCGCAUACCAUCAGAGGGGCCGAGAUGGGAUUAGCUAGUUGGUGGGGUAAAGGCUCACCAAGGCGACGAUCCCUAGCUGGUCUGAGAGGAUGACCAGCCACACUUGAACUGAGACACGGUCCAGACUCCUACGGGAGGCAGCAGUGGGGAAUUUUGCACAAUGGGGGCAACCCUGAUCCAGCCAUGCCGCGUGUAUGAUGAAGGCCUUCGGGUUGUAAAGUACUUUCGGCGGAGAGGCGUUACCUGCAGAAUAAGCACCGGCUAACUCCGUGCCAGCAGCCGCGGUAAUUC
rnacentral:rRNA from 1 species